UAAGGAAUAUUGGUCAAUGGGCGCAAGCCUGAACCAGCCAUGCCGCGUGGAGGAUGAAGGCCCUCUGGGUUGUAAACUUCUUUUAUCUGGGACGAAAAACGGGGAUUCUUCCCCACUUGACGGUACCAGGUGAAUAAGCACCGGCUAACUCCGUGCCAGCAGCCGCGGUAAUACGGAGGGUGCAAGCGUUAUCCGGAUUCACUGGGUUUAAAGGGUGCGUAGGCGGGCAGUUAAGUCAGUGGUGAAAUCUUUGGGCUUAACCCGGAAACUGCCAUUGAUACUAUCUGUCUUGAAUAUUGUGGAGGCCUGCGGAAUAUGUCAUGUAGCGGUGAAAUGCUUAGAUAUGACAUAGAACACCAAUUGCGAAGGCAGCAGGCUACGCAUAUAUUGACGCUGAGGCACGAAAGCGUGGGGAUCAAACAGGAUUAGAUACCCCUGUAGUCC
rnacentral:rRNA from 1 species